rnacentral:rRNA from 1 species
AUGGCUUUGGAUGAGGACAGAGCUAGUGGACCAGGGGACGGCACGUAUGAUUCUGAUGGGCGUCAGGAUGCUUUGAUGGACCAGGAUAAGAGAGGAGAUCCACCUCCCUCAUCUGGGGGAACUGGACAGUCGGAGCUAGGAACGGCGGCUCCAGUUUCCGUGUCCAUGCCCAUGACUGAGCUUCAUUUCGGCUCUUUCGGGGCGGCUUCGGCGCCUGCUCGCCUAUGGGCUGAUAGGAUGGACAGUACAGACCCGGCAGAGAGAGGUGGACAUGGUGGGAGAGUUAUCUUCGGCGGGUGA